CAUAACGACUCUCGGCAACGGAUAUCUCGGCUCUCGCAUCGAUGAAGAACGUAGCGAAAUGCGAUACUUGGUGUGAAUUGCAGAAUCCCGUGAACCAUCGAGUCUUUGAACGCAAGUUGCGCCCGAAGCCAUUCGGCCAAGGGCACGUCUGCCUGGGCGUCACGCA
rnacentral:rRNA from 1 species